rnacentral:rRNA from 1 species
GACGAACGCUGGCGGCGUGCUUAACACAUGCAAGUCGAGCGGUAAGGCCCUUUCGGGGGUACACGAGCGGCGAACGGGUGAGUAACACGUGGGCGACCUGCCCUCAGCUCUGGGAUAAGCCUGGGAAACCGGGUCUAAUACCGGAUAUGACUCCAUGACGCAUGUUGUGGGGUGGAAAGCCUUGUGCGGCUGAGGAUGGGCCCGCGGCCUAUCAGCUUGUUGGUGGGGUGANGGCCUACCAAGGCGACGACGGGUAGCCGGCCUGAGAGGGCGACCGGCCACACUGGGACUGAGACACGGCCCAGACUCCUACGGGAGGCAGCAGUGGGGAAUCUUGCGCAAUGGGCGAAAGCCUGACGCAGCAACGCCGCGUGAGGGAAGACGGCCU